GGCAAAUACCCGGUGGAAUCCCGCCUGGUUCGGAAGCUCCGCCCCCUGGCGGGAGGGCCAAGCGGGUUUCACCCCGGCCUCGCGGAAGGGGCGCGACCACCGUAUGUCCUGUUCCUGCGCUUCCCAAGCUGGGUAGAAACGGCGAGAGGCUGGGGGUUAGAAACGACAGGUUCCCGGCGGGCUGUGCCGGGGCUUCGCUGUGUGACCUUGGGCUGGCGUCUGGGCUCUCUGGGCCCUUGUUUCCGCGAGUUAAACGUAGGGGCGGGGGAGUUUCUCUGGCCCUGCCGCCUGUGACCUAAGGAGCCCCGUGACCUCUCCGACCCGAGCCCACCCCCGGCCCAGUCUGCGAGCAGCUCCGGGACAAGCACUCCCGGCGAAGACAUGUAGGCUCUCAGAGCCUGCGUUUCCCUCUGUAGAGCAGGCCUAGUUACUGUCUUCAGGGUGCACGCGUCUCCGUCCCCGACCCGCACCCUCACCGCCGGGGUUGCAAGCUCGAAGAGGGCAGAGGUGACAUCUCUGUUUACUGCAUGUACCCAGCACAGUGCCUGGCACCAAUCUGCAUCCACUAAACAUUUGUGCCUGGAUGAACACAGCCUGCAUGGGCUUCAUCUUCAUUAUUUGUUCUUAUGUCUGUCUCCACCACUAAGUGUGACCUUUCAGAGCCCAGCAUCCAGAUCCAACCUGCCUAUGGGUCCAGACCUAGCUCAAGACCUUAAAGACUGGCCGGGUGAGGUGGCUCACGCCUGUAAUCCCAGCACUUUGGGAGCCUGAGGAGGGUGGAUCACUUGACGUCAAGAGUUCGUGACCAGCCUGGGCAACAUGGUGAAACCCCAUCUCUACUAAAAAUACAAAAAUUAGCCAGGCGUGGUGGCAGGUACCUGUAAUCCCAGCUACUGGGGAGGCUGAGGAAGGAGAAUCAUUUAAAUCCGGGAGGUGGAGUUUGCAGUGAACUGAGAUUGUGCCACUGCACUCCAGCCUGGGCGACAGAGCAAGACUACAUCUCAAAAAAACAAAAAAAAUAAAAAAACAAAAAACACACACACAAACAGAAAGAAAUGUGCUUCAUGUUACUCCCACCUGAAAAGUUUUCCCAGCUAAUGGAACCUACACCAGAAGCUGUGUGAAAUAAGCCAUCCAUGGACUGGACAUUGCAGCUUCAGUGACAAGUAGGAAUGAAUUUGGCAACAUGGGAGGGUAAGGGAAGCAUUUGAAAAUUUAACAAGAUUUGGCCACCAGUGUCUGAGUUUUAACUGUAGUAAAAACCAGCCAGGCCGGGCGCAGUGGCUCACGUCUGUAAUCCCAGCACUUUGGGAGGCCGAGGCAGGCAGAUCACCUGACGUCAGGAGUUCGAGACCAGCCUGGCCAACAUGGUGAAACUCCGUCUCUGCUAAAAAAUACAAAAAUUAGCCAGGCGUGGUGGCAGGAGCCUUAAUCCCAGCUACUUGGGAGGCAGAGGCAGGAGAAUCAUUUGAACCUGGGAGGCAGAGGUUGCAGUGAGGUGAGAUCGAGCCAUUGCACUCAAGCCUGGGGCACAAGAGCAAGACUUCUCUCACACAUACACACACACACACACACACACACACACACACACAAACACCAGCCAGGCACGGUGGCUCAUGCCUGUAAUCCCAGCACUUUGGGAGGCCGAGGUUGGCCGAUCACCUGAGGUCAGGAGUUCAACACCAGCCUGGACAGCAUGGUGAAACCUCAUCUCUACUAAAAACACAAAAUUAGCCAGGCAUGGUGGCGGGCACCUGCAAUCCCAGCUGCUCGGGAGGCUGAGGCAGGAGAAUUGCUUGAACCCAGGGGGCAGUGAGCCAAGAUCAC
rnacentral:lncRNA from 1 species